rnacentral:rRNA from 1 species
UACGGGGGGGGUAAGCGUUGUUCGGAAUUACUGGGCGUAAAGGGCUCGUAGGCGGCCAACUAAGUCAGACGUGAAAUCCCCUCAGCUUAACUGGGGAACUGCGUCUGAUACUGGAUGGCUUGGAUUCGGGAGAGGAAUGCGGAAUUCCAGGUGUAGCGGUGAAAUGCGUAGAUAUCUGGAGGAACACCGGUGGCGAAGGCGGCAUUCUGGACCGACAUUGACGCUGAGGAGCGAAAGCCAGGGGGAGCAAACGGGG